AUUGAACGCUGGCGGCAGGCCUAACACAUGCAAGUCGAACGAGUGGCGGACGGGUGAGUAAUGUCUGGGAAACUGCCCGACGGAGGGGGAUAACUACUGGAACAGGUAGCUAAUACCGCAUACCAUCGGAUGUGCCCUGAUGGGAUUAGCUAGUAGGUGGGGUAACGGCACACCUGGGCGACGAUCCCUAGCUGGUCUGAGAGGAUGACCGGCCACACUGGAACUGAGACACGGCCCAGACUCCUACGGGAGGCAGCAGUGGGGAAUAUUGCACAAUGGACGCAAGCCUGAUGCAGCCAUGCCGCGUGUAUGAAGAAGGCCUUCGGGUUGUAAAGUACUGUCAGCGAGGAGGCGUUACUCGCAGAAGAAGCACCGGCUAACUCCGUGCCAGCAGCCGCGGUAAUAC
rnacentral:rRNA from 1 species